CGGAACGAAGAGGAGCUUGCUCCUUUGGCGUCGAGCGGCGGACGGGUGAGUAAUGCUUGGGAAUGUGCCUUAUGGUGGGGGACAACAGUUGGAAACGACUGCUAAUACCGCAUAAUGUCUUCGGACCAAAGUGGGGGACCUUCGGGCCUCACGCCAUAAGAUCAGCCCAAGUGGGAUUAGCUAGUUGGUAAGGUAAUGGCUUACCAAGGCGACGAUCCCUAGCUGGUUUGAGAGGAUGAUCAGCCACACUGGGACUGAGACACGGCCCAGACUCCUACGGGAGGCAGCAGUGGGGAAUAUUGCACAAUGGGCGCAAGCCUGAUGCAGCCAUGCCGCGUGUGUGAAGAAGGCCUUCGGGUUGUAAAGCACUUUCAGUAAGGAGGAAAGGUUAAGUGUUAAUAGCACUUAGCUGUGACGUUACUUACAGAAGAAGCACCGGCUAACUCCGUGCCAGCAGCCGCGGUAAUACGGAGGGUGCGAGCGUUAAUCGGAAUUACUGGGCGUAAAGCGUACGCAGGCGGUUUGUUAAGCGAGAUGUGAAAGCCCUGGGCUCAACCUGGGAACUGCAUUUCGAACUGGCAAACUAGAGUGUGAUAGAGGGUGGUAGAAUUUCAGGUGUAGCGGUGAAAUGCGUAGAGAUCUGAAGGAAUACCGAUGGCGAAGGCAGCCACCUGGGUCAACACUGACGCUCAUGUACGAAAGCGUGGGGGAGCAAACAGGAUUAGAUACCCUGGUAGUCCACGCCGUAAACGAUGUCUAC
rnacentral:rRNA from 1 species